GUGUGCGUAAUUUAAAGAAAANAUCAAGUUGUG
rnacentral:tRNA from 1 species